rnacentral:rRNA from 1 species
UACGUAGGGCGCAAGCGUUGUCCGGAAUUAUUGGGCGUAAAGAGCUCGUAGGCGGUCUGUCGCGUCUGCCGUGAAACCCGAGGCUUAACCUCGGGCCUGCGGUGGAUACGGGCAGACUAGAGGUAGGUAGGGGAGAAUGGAAUUCCCGGUGUAGCGGUGAAAUGCGCAGAUAUCGGGAGGAACACCGGUGGUGAAGGCGGUUCUCUGGGCCUUACCUGACGCUGAGGAGCGAAGCGUGGGAGCGAACAGGAUAGAACC